rnacentral:lncRNA from 12 species
CCACCAUGUAAGACAUGAAUGCUAAAUUGCUCUGUUUCAAGCAAAGGUGGGAAAUGAAGAUCCGCCCAAUCAUCUCUAUCCCAAAUUGAACCCUAAAAUUCCCUCAACUCCACAGACCACAAUUUAAAACCAUCUAUUAACUCCUAACACUCCUUCUAAAGUUAUGAACUCAUGAACUGAGAGAAAUUAAUGGACCAGCUUGAAUUGUCUUCUUGGAGUUUCACACUCUCUUUGAUGUUAAAAAGGAAAACUUCUCUGGAGGAGGAAGAUUUAAAGUAGCAGCAGUUGGGAAGCCACACACAUAUACACAAUCAGAUGAUAACAAAUUGGCAUCCAAUGUUGGGAGUGAGAAAAUGACUGUUCUAGAGAGUCUGAGACUUUGUAUUCAGAGUGGUGAGGACAUGUGAGAGAAUAGACCCUUGCCAGCAGAGAUAUCUAGGAGGGAGGCUUGAUCGUCAUACAAGAUUCAUGGGAAUAGAGAGGAAAAGAAGAAAGAAAUGAACAUUCCAGAUUUCCUGGCUUGAGUGAAUUGAUGACAGAUUUACAGAUUGGGAAAUACAUGAAGAGGAGUAGACUGUUGGUUGAAAAGUGAGAA